rnacentral:rRNA from 1 species
UUCUGCAAACAAUCACCCACUGAUUAAACCCAGCCCACUGCUUGUUUUAGUGUAAAAAUAAAUUCUCGGAAGCUAAGCAGGGUCGGGACUGGUUAGUACUUGGAUGGGAGACCACCUAGGAAGACCAAGUGCUGUAGGUG